UGGCUAAUGGGCCGAGCUGCCGAGGCACAAGUUCAUAUCGGCUCCUUUUGUUCACCGCGUCUUUCUGCCUCGCUUAUGAUUUAUUGUAUGUUUUGUCCUUUUUCUCUGUUUUCGUUUGUGUGAAGCAUCAGGAGCAAAAAGCCACUUGCCGCGUUUUUCAGCUUUAUUUUCUUUCUGCUCGUCUCUUUGUGUGAAUAUUUUACGCUUUGAAGAUGAGACACGGGGGCCGCAGAAACGCAUCAAAUCAAACCGCCCACAGACCUCAGAACCGACGCCACGCUCGGCCCCUAACGGAGAGGUGAAGCGCUUUCUAUUCAUCUCGUCUGACCGUAAUACGUGACUUACAGGUCACGGAUUUUUACGUGACCUGUAAGUGGAUUUCUCUGCCCCCCCCGGGGGGUCCUUACGUUAAAUGGUAAACCUGGAGAUGGAACCGCGGUCCUCCGCCUGAGGCGUGACCUCGUCCUCCGCCUGAGGCGUUGUACUCCCGCUGAACACUUACUACAGUACUACAGUACCUCGAUAUUCGCCGUUUGUACACGUCUGUGCGGUAGAUGACCUGUUAACCCCCAGCUGAGCAGGUGUGGUAAUUGAAACGACGAGAGGAGCCGGAGAAAAAACGAGAUUCGUGUUACGUGUGAGAAGUAGAUCGACAGGCGGCUCCUCACCGAUCCGACGGUGUUUGUACUUCUUCAUGCUUCAUGUUUCUGACAUUCACGCUGACAUUUCAAGAGAAAAUGUAAUAAAACGCUUAUGUUUGAUUUCUAUUAUGAAUCCGAUUGAAAAAUGGAGAAAUUCUUCGAGACGCUCGACGUUGCAGGAACUGAUCGGGAGGACCGGCUGGAGAAGACCCGCGACUGGAAGAAGGGGUCAAAGGUCAGAGGAGCUCAUGCUGCAGGUCUCCAGCCGCUCUGCACACAUUAAAGUUACCAACUCUAUAAAUAUCCGCCUCGUUCAUCGUGGACGGUUUGGUCCUCACGGAAAUAUUGGAAUAUUACAACGAGGAGAAGACGUCCACGGGAACGUCUCUGGAGAGAACGAGGAGAAGACGUCCACGGGAACGUCUCUGGAGAGAACGAGGAGAAGACGUCCACGGGAACGUCUCUGGAGAGAAUGAUGAGAAGACGUCCACGGGAACGUCUCUGGAGAGAACGAGGAGAAGACGUCCACGGGAACGUCUCUGGAGAGAAUGAUGAGAAGACGUCCACGGGAACGUCUCUGGAGAGAACGAGGAGAAGACGUCCACGGGAGGUGUCAGGGAUGUUGCGUAUGGAAAAAGGCAGGACUCAAACACAGAGUUCGAAAACAAAAAGGACUUUAAUAGUCAAAACGGGCAAAAACACACAGGAACAGGGGGCAUAAAGGCAGACAGGAGCGAGGGACAUCCAGGACGAUUGACAACGACGCGACAAGUGACACAAGAGACACACGGCUUAAAUACACUAGGGAGGUGCAGGUGAUUGGACACAGGUGGAAACGAUCAGACAAUCACAGGGGACGACAGGACCAGGCAGGAAGUGAAGUUACCCGGGGACAAGAAGCAGAAAACUAAACUAAAACCACACCGUGACAGGAGAGACAGACAAAGUCACACACAUGAUAAACUCAGCCGAACAAUUUCUCUCACACACACACUCACGCACACACACACACACUAUCAGGUCACGGACCAUCAGAAGAAAUGCAGCGAUGCCACGACGUCCUCAGCGAACUGCAGACAGACAGAGACAGAAAUGUCCCCCUCAGCUGUGUGUGCAGGCUUCUUACAAACAGGAGAACUGGGGACCUGAACUGGUGUCACAAUCACACUGAGACGAGCGCACACACACACACACGCACGCACACACACACGCACACACACACGCACCCACACACGCACACACACACGCACACACACACGCACAGCGAUGGGUCAGUGGAAUGGAGUCCUCUCGCUCUUUCCUUUUGUAUCGAGCGGAUGAGAAACAAGUGCAAACAGGAUCCGCUCAGAUCGACAUUGAUCUGGUUUCUCUGCUUGUGACUCCGUGUUUGUGUCUGUUUGCCGUCAUCACUUUGUCUCACUGGGUGUGUGUUCCACACGCGUGUGCCUCACAAUCCCCACGUGUUCCUGCCCGUGCACGCAGGUGUGUGUUUGUGUGUUUUCAUUCCACUAAUGGCUAGGAGUGUGUGUGUGUGUGUGUGGUCACGGUUGUGCGUGUUAUGUUGUAUCAACGGAUGCAUGUGUGUAUUCCGUGAGUCUCUGUAGGCAACAAAUGAUUGUUGAAGGUCACAUCCAAUCAGGAGCAAGGCUGCCUGGAUAGAACGAGAUGCAUGGAGAUGUAUGCAGGGCAGGGAUUCAAACAUAUAUGUUUCAAUUCACAUAUAUGUUUAUAUGCACAUGAAUGUGUAUAUAUUAGUUUUUUGUUUGGUACUUCUGAUACCAAAUUGUAAUUUAAUCCAGUCAGAAGUUCGGACACUUUCUCACUUAUUCGAAUGAGAAAAUGUCCACAGAGAAGAUUAAAGCACGAGAGGGAACUUUCUGUACGCUGCCGCCACAAGAACUCACCACACAACGCGAUCAUCAGGGUUGCAUCUCUAGUUCAAAGUAUUCUGUGCAACUGUCAGGGAAUUGACAUUAAUAAUAACCCUUCUGGACUCGAUGUUUCUACCCAUUAGUGAACAAAGCAGCGAGGACUCGUACCAUGGUUUGAUAUUAAAUACUACAAUCCAAUUCUUCUAUAUAUAUAUUUCUUGUCUUAAUUGAUUCUCACUAAAGAAGCGUUUGCAGGUCGUCGCUCUGCUUCCCCGGAGGAGCAGGAUGAAGUUCUUUCACCCUGAACCUUCACGUUGUUGCUGGUGGUGACUUUGCAUUUGUCAGGUUUCUCUCGGCUUCCUGUCGUACAUUCAGUCUGAAGGCUCCUUCCUUCACGGAUUGUAAGUGUGGCUCCAUAUUUCUGCGUGAUUAAAUGUGUGUUUGCGUAGGAGGAGGAGGAAGAGGAGGAGGAGGAGGAAGAGGGAGGUCAUAACCCAUUACUCACAGCUCUCUGUGUUUACUCUCAUCUAAUAGGAAAAACAACAUUGAUGCUUCCACCACAUUAUAAAUCGAUAUAUUACUCAAACGAGUUAUAAAUCAGGCUGCCGUGGCUUCGCCGGAGCAAUGGACUCUUCUGCAUUGAUUCCUUCACAGAUUUAAUAACAGCGUAGAGGAUCACUGGGCUGCAAUGUGAAGUGGAUGUAAUCACACCUCGGCCCAUUAAACGGGCCUCUGGCCUGGUGCUCGGUCGGCUGCCGGCCUCCGGGGGCCUCCGGGGGCCUCGGCCUGUGAACACCAUCGUUGCUUGGUGCGCGUCCGGGACGUCCCCGAUAUCGCUGAUAACUCAAAUCCCCGGGAGGACGCGUUCUCGGCAUCGAGCGUCGACUCAAAAUACGCAAUCAUGUCGUGAUUUAAUAGAAAAUAAUCGGACGAAAAGGAUCGUUUUUGUGACGGUGUGCGAGGAAGUUCUUCCCCCUCGUUGUUCUCCUGGUAGCCUCUGGUCAAAACGCAACCAAGCCACUGAGUACGUGAACCGAUCCAAAUAUCACUAAAGUCAUCGACACAAGCGCUUAACGGAAUAACACAGCGGCAUUUGUGCUCAUGACUGAUCAGCGAUCUGACAUCCACAUGUGGCCGUGGCUCAAAUCUCAUCUCAUCUCUAAUGAGGAGAAACGUGUUCACGUGGAUCACAAGCAGAACGCAGAUGUUUCCCUCAGGAGGCGCGAUGACAACAACAACAACAACAACAACAAAACGAGGAGAAAACUGUCACUUCAAACAACGUAUGUGGAGAUAAUUAGCAAACCCAAACAUUUUGGACACCUCGCCAAUCGUCUUUCAUGUCGGUGUUCCAGAGAAGUGGAGACAGAUUGAGGGAUGCAGAUAGAUGGAGAGACUCACUCUGGAGGUCCAACGCUGCAACGCAGAUGCUGGUUUAUUAUGUUUCAUAUUGGAUCUUUUUAAAAUUUCACUCACUGAAAAGAGAUGAAUGUCUCUGCUUCAUUUCACAUAAAAGAUGUUUCAUUAGUCCGUGAAGAACGUCUGCGUUUUGUGUCUUGAAACAAAAGGUGGACGUGGAGCUUUAAGGUCGGCGAGGACACGUCGUCGCUAAUCUGAUUGGACGUCGAGUCUGUGAGUGUGAGGAAUCGGUUCCUUCCUCCCCGAGUAGCUGUGAAUGAACCCAAAGAUCAACAUGACAUCUUAAUUUCCCCAGCGUGUUUCUCUUCAAUCUCCGUCACUCGCCCUUUAUUCUGCCUUUAAGUCCCACUGUCGCUCUCGCUCUUUGUCUCUCACGCACUGAUUCGCAGUCUGUUUCCGUCCUGCCACUCAAACUGAAAACCACACGGCCGCCUGUCCGGCCAAGGCUCGAAGCUAACGGUGCUAACGGCACUUAUGGUGGCAACGGUGCUAACGGCGCUUAUGAAGGUAACGGUGCUAACGGCGCUUAUGGAGGUAACGGUGCUAACGACGUUUAUGGAGGUAACGGUGCUAACAGGGCUUAUGGAGGUAACGGUGCUAACGGCACUUAUGGAGGUAACGGUGCUAACAACGUUUAUGGAGGUAACGGUGCUAACGGCGCUUAUGAAGGUAACAGUUCGCCCGCUCAUCUCAUGUUUAAUGCGACUUCUCUGACUGAGCAGAGUUUAUUAAAUCAACGGUUCCUUGCGUCAAGGAGGCCCAUCAGGUCUGAAAGGAGAUCAGUAAUAAACCAAAUGGUAAUUGUGUUGCAUCUCCAUGCCAAUAACUACAGACACAAAAGACGCACAAAAAGCCGACCGAGAGACACACACCAGACAUAAAAAAUGACUGAAUGAAUUCAGAGGUCCAAACUUCUGUAAUAAUAUGCAUCAUGACUACGAGACGCUGUCUCCCUCCCACACUGUCUCUCGCCCUCUUUCUCUCUCUCAGACACAUUUUUCUGGGGGCGAACAAGUUUGCUGCCUUGCUCAAAGGCUUCUAAAGAAGUAAACCACCCACCUUCUGGUCCCUGGCUCCCAGUGGGAGAGAAACACUGAGGGGCGGUGGGGUGGGGGGCUCCCGGGCGACUCCGGAUGUCCAAUUUUUCAUGACUUUAUAAUUUGCAGAAUGUGGCAUUUGAGACUUCCUACGGGGGUGUUUUGUAUUCCCACCAUCACUCUCGCUCUGUGCGCGGUUCGAUUUUUAACAUUUGGCAGCAUAUUAUUCAAUGUGAGCGAAAACAGCGCUCAUAUUUAAUCAUGAACCAACUUCCUAUUCAUGCAAAUGAAUGUUCCACUCUGCUUCCUGCGUCUGAAAUAAAGACCCAUCUGUAUUUUUAUAAAGACGUCUCUGGGUGAAGUAUUCAUUUAUUAGCAUGAACUCACACACACACUGUCCUUCAUUUGGACUCAACACCGUCCUGCUGCCCCACAAACUCACUGAACAAUAAUCACAUCACGUCUGAGAGGAACCCGACGAAAACACCACGGCUCCCGUUUGAGAACUGCAGCGACCAGCGGCUGAAAAUAAGCCUUUUGAAAAAUAAAUAACAAGAUUGAGAUUACAAAUUUGAAUAAUUUCAAUGGAAAAAAAGACGGUUGAAGCUCAUUAAUGUGUCAGUUUUGUUAAAGCUACGAAUGGUAACUUUAGUAAAAAUACACAUUUGCUCACAUUUACUUCGUGAACUGGUCCUGAGAGCAUUACACUCCAGGUGUGAGGUCUCAACCCCGGCGUGGCAGCAGGAGGCCGCGUCCUCCGGAGCCAAUCAGCAGAAUUCUAAACAACUGCGAGGGAGGACGCGUCCCCCCGGAGCCAAUCACCGAAAUUCGGAACACCCACGAGAGGACCUAUAAGAGCAGGCCGACGCAGCGACUGAGUUGUGAGGUAUUAUGACUACGCGUCUUUGCUGAUCCCCUUUGUUUCGCUGCCCCUGAAUUCCCGCGUAUUGACCUUCCGCCUCUCGACCACGAACCUGCCUUCUCCCUGGACCAGGUCCAUCUUUUGCCAUCCCGUGUCCCCGAACCUCUGCCCGUCCCCGGAUUCCCCGUUUAGCCUCAUCCCUUGAGACUACAGUUGCCUGUCGUCCCUAAAUAAACAUUGAGCGCUGUGCUUUUGGGUCUGAGUCGGUCUGCAGAGUCCAUUCCUCACACCAGGGUUAGAACACUUGGGAUUAGAUGUCUCUUUGGGUCAUGAAUCAGAAAACACCAACGAGCAUGUUUUGCU
ensembl:lncRNA